CUUUUGUAUAAUGGGUCAGCGACUUAUAUUCUGUAGCAAGGUUAACCGAAUAGGGGAGCCGAAGGGAAACCGAGUCUUAACUGGGCGUUAAGUUGCAGGGUAUAGACCCGAAACCCGGUGAUCUAGCCAUGGGCAGGUUGAAGGUUGGGUAACACUAACUGGAGGACCGAACCGACUAAUGUUGAAAAAUUAGCGGAUGACUUGUGGCUGGGGGUGAAAGGCCAAUCAAACCGGGAGAUAGCUGGUUCUCCCCGAAAGCUAUUUAGGUAGCGCCUCGUGAAUUCAUCUCCGGGGGUAGAGCACUGUUUCGGCAAGGGGGUCAUCCCGACUUACCAACCCGAUGCAAACUGCGAAUACCGGAGAAUGUUAUCACGGGAGACACACGGCGGGUGCUAACGUCCGUCGUGAAGAGGGAAACAACCCAGACCGCCAGCUAAGGUCCCAAAGUCAUGGUUAAGUGGGAAACGAUGUGGGAAGGCCCAGACAGCCAGGAUGUUGGCUUAGAAGCAGCCAUCAUUUAAAGAAAGCGUAAUAGCUCACUGGUCGAGUCGGCCUGCGCGGAAGAUGUAACGGGGCUAAACCAUGCACCGAAGCUGCGGCAGCGACACUAUGUGUUGUUGGGUAGGGGAGCGUUCUGUAAGCCUGUGAAGGUGUGCUGUGAGGCAUGCUGGAGGUAUCAGAAGUGCGAAUGCUGACAUAAGUAACGAUAAAGCGGGUGAAAAGCCCGCUCGCCGGAAGACCAAGGGUUCCUGUCCAACGUUAAUCGGGGCAGGGUGAGUCGACCCCUAAGGCGAGGCCGAAAGGCGUAGUCGAUGGGAAACAGGUUAAUAUUCCUGUACUUGGUGUUACUGCGAAGGGGGGACGGAGAAGGCUAUGUUGGCCGGGCGACGGUUGUCCCGGUUUAAGCGUGUAGGCUGGUUUUCCAGGCAAAUCCGGAAAAUCAAGGCUGAGGCGUGAUGACGAGGCACUACGGUGCUGAAGCAACAAAUGCCCUGCUUCCAGGAAAAGCCUCUAAGCAUCAGGUAACAUCAAAUCGUACCCCAAACCGACACAGGUGGUCAGGUAGAGAAUACCAAGGCGCUUGAGAGAACUCGGGUGAAGGAACUAGGCAAAAUGGUGCCGUAACUUCGGGAGAAGGCACGCUGAUAUGUAGGUGAAGUCCCUCGCGGAUGGAGCUGAAAUCAGUCGAAGAUACCAGCUGGCUGCAACUGUUUAUUAAAAACACAGCACUGUGCAAACACGAAAGUGGACGUAUACGGUGUGACGCCUGCCCGGUGCCGGA
rnacentral:rRNA from 1 species